UCACAUCUUUUAUUUUUUUUUAUUUUUUUUUUAAAAUUGUCACAUGAUUAAGACGUCAUUUUUUUAUAUAUUUUUCAUGUGUAUGCAUCAAUGUCAACUUUUUAAUAAUAAAAAUAUCUAACCCCGCGUCGCAACUUCUCUUUUCCAUAGGUGAUUUUCGCUUCGGCUAACACACCAAUCUUUAUCUUCUUCUACAUUACCAUCCCGCAUCAUCCACAACAAACCUAUCAUACAUAACUCUCUCUUCCUUCGCACACCAUCUUCCACCCUCAUCCAUAGCCAUUCAAACCUCACCUUCAACCUUAUACUACCAUACAUCCAUUAACACACUAUAACCUUACUCUCACUGUGAACAAAAUCACACCACACUAUAAUAACAAAUUCAAGAUCAGUUCACCAUAAAAAUACCCAAACAAUCAAUCUCCAUCCUCAAACAACAAUGGCAAGAUAACACGACCGUUACCCUUUCUUUUCUCAAUAUCAACAACAAUCCAUCAAACAACACCAUCAAUUAUGGAAAACCAAAAAUGUGAUUUGAAGCAAAAGGAAAAAAUAAAUAAAACUGAAUCGAAAGAAAAUCAGAUAAAGAUCUGUGCGCAUCGCCUCAGUGAUCCGUUUUUCGACCGAUGAACACUCCCUUGUUCUUCUCACCGGAACUACACCGCGCCGCUCAAUAUUGCGUUUGUUUAGCUUACUUUGUUUUGCAUAAAUUUUAAACGAGAAGGAGGAACUUACUUGUGAUGUUGAGCGAUUUCGUUUCACACGAUUGAAGAUUGUUGCAGAGAAUUUUUGAGAGUGACGGUAGGGUAGGGGAGAAGGAAGAAAAGGUGUUAUGUUGUUAUUUUUAUCUUGAGUUCAUUUUAAUGGUCAUUGUUUUUUUUAAUUUUUAUUUUAAAGGGAAAGACAUGUGUCCUACCCUAAUUGGUUGCUUUUGUUCUUAGUAAGAGAGAGUGAAGGAAAUAGCGUUAGGAUUCUUUAUCUGAUUGUUCUUUUUAAUCCUUGUUUUUUUCUUAUUUUUAUUCAUUAGUUUUAAUUACUAACAUUAAUAAUA
rnacentral:lncRNA from 1 species